GCUCAAAUUUGAAAUCUGGCCCCCAGGGCCCGAGUUGUAAUUUGCAGAGGAUGCUUUUGGCGCGGUGCCUUCCGAGUUCCCUGGAACGGGACGCCAUAGAGGGUGAGAGCCCCGUCUGGUCGGACGCCUAGCCUGUGUAAAGCUCCUUCGACGAGUCGAGUAGUUUGGGAAUGCUGCUCUAAAUGGGAGGUAUAUGUCUUCUAAAGCUAAAUACCGGCCAGAGACCGAUAGCGCACAAGUAGAGUGAUCGAAAGAUGAAAAGCACUUUGAAAAGAGGGUUAAAUAGUACGUGAAAUUGUUGAAAGGGAAGCGCUUGUGACCAGACUUGGGCCCGGUGGAUCAUCCAGCGUUCUCGCUGGUGCACUCCGCCGGGUUCAGGCCAGCAUCAGUUCGCCGCGGGGGAAAAAGGCUUCGGGAACGUGGCUCCUACGGGAGUGUUAUAGCCCGUUGCAUAAUACCCUGGGGCGGACUGAGGUUCGCGCUCCGCAAGGAUGCUGGCGUAAUGGUCAUCAGCGACCC
rnacentral:rRNA from 1 species